rnacentral:rRNA from 1 species
UCUCGACCGGGGGCGACAGCAAUAUGAAGGUCAGGCUGAAGACCUUACCCGAUUAGCUGAGAGGUGGUGCAUGGCCGUCGUCAGUUCGUACUGUGAAGCAUCCUGUUAAGUCAGGCAACGAGCGAGACCCACGUCCACAGUUGCCAGCAUACCCUCCGGGGUGAUGGGUACACUGUGGAGACCGCCGCUGCUAAAGCGGAGGAAGGAGUGGGCAACGGUAGGUCAGUAUGCCCCGAAUCUCCCGGGCUACACGCGGGCUACAAUGGUUGGUACAAUGGGCAUCUACCCCGAAAGGGGAAGGAAAUCUCUUAAAGCCAAUCGUAGUUCGGAUUGAGGGCUGCAACUCGCCCUCAUGAAGCUGGAAUCCGUAGUAAUCGCGUUUCAACAGAACGCGGUGAAUACGUCCCUGCUCCUU